GUCUAUCAAGAUGAAAACAACACUAUGACACUCGGAACAAACUUCUCCUGUCAGAUGCACACAGGGGGCCCUCUGUUGCACAAUCUGCACUUGUUCCUCAUGCAACAGAGAUUCAACUCACAGAUACGAGAUCCAGACUGCAGAUCAGAGGGGAGACUGACUUCUGCCCUUCAUUUGAGCCAAAGAAUACUUAUCUCCUUAUUUCCAACUUCUCAAGUUGCAGCUAGACCUGGGGAGAUGUAAAUAUAACCCAAGGUUGGAGCCUCUGUAGCACUCGAUCUGCAGAAACCAAGUCUACUUCCUUUCCUGAGAUAGUCCGAACAGGAAAAGGAAGCACACAGUAGCCAUCACCCCACUCUGUAUUCUUACAGAGCUUGGCAACAGGCAUUGGAUCCUAGGUGGCCUUCUGGAGACUGAGAUUGGUCUACACAACACAAAGAUUCUGAAACAGUGGUGUAUCAUGAGACAGUGUUUGGACCUCUUUCUUUUUUUUUAGAUGGAGUUUUGUUCUUGUUGCCCAGGCUGGAGUGCAAUGGCACAAUCUUGGCUCACUGCAACCUCCACCUCCCAGGUUUAAGUGAUUCUCCUUCUUCAGCCUCCCAAGUAGCUGGGAUUACAGGUUCGUGCCAUCAUGCCUGGCUAAUUUUUGUAAUUUUAGUAGAGACGGAGUUUCACCAUGUUGGCCAGGCUGGUCUUGAACUCCUGACUUCGUGAUCCGCCCACCUCGGCCUCCCAAAGUGCUGGGAUUACAGGUGUGAGCCACUGCACCCAGCACCUGGCCAGACCUCUUUCAUCCUGUUGUCAUGUAAGUUUUAUAUCUUGAGUGCUGCUGUCCCUUAAAGUUAGUGCUUAGGAAGUGCAAGAAGGAACAUGUGUUAUCUCGGGUAUUAGUGAAACAACCACCUAUUCUUGUUUAUUUGUUUGAUCAAUUCAUUUCAAAGUGCCUUGUAUUCUUGGUUGUAAUUGGUCAUAUCUAGGUAAAGCUGGCUGUUUCCAGAGUCAGCAAGGAAGGCUGAGCUGUGUUACCCACAAAACAUUUCUUGAUAAAGGUGACCCUGGCAAUUUAGGGCGUUCAAAAUUUCUUAACUCCCACAGGCUCAUUGAAUCCAAGUCUCAAACAGACCUGUCCUUCCUCCAUUAUUACCUAUGUCAGAAAACUAUACUACCAUCCAUUCAUUUAUUCAUACCAGAAACCCAAGAGUCAUUUUUGUUUCCUCCUUUUCCCUUAUAGCCCACAUUCAAUCAAUCAACAGAAUCUAUCAAUUCUACCUGAUAAUUAUAUCUUGAAGGUAACCCUUUUACCACCUUUAAUGCCUUCCCAUUUAUUUCCACAGUUCAAGUGGGGAGAGAGUUUCUAAGUGAAAAGGGACCUAUGCCACCUUCUACUUACAAUAUUCCCAUGGAUUUCCUCUGGAAUACCAGUAAGCCCAAGAUUUUACAAGAGCUUAUAUAAUCUAGACCAUCCACUUAUUCAUUUUCCUCAAUUUCCACUCUCCUUCUCAAACUCUGUGCUUUGGUCAUUACUAAACUACUUUUGGUUCCUCAUAUGAUUCCUUUCUUGCCUCCUGGGCUUUGCAAAUACUCUUCCAUCUCUCCACAAGCACUGCCUUCUCCUGGCUAACCCCUCCUCAACCAAAAAUUACAGCUAAAGGUCACUUCAUCAAGAAGGCUUUCCUUGACCCUCUUCCUCAUAAUGUAUUGAAUAGUACUUACUUAUUUAAUAUCUGCCUUCUCUUUCAUCCUAAAAUCUCCAAGAAAGCCACAACUAGAUUAGUCUUGUUUGCUUCUCUAUCUUCAUCAGAGAAUUUAGAAAAUGUAAUUGAUUUUUUAUGCUUGCAUGUUUUAUGUUCUUCAGCUUUAGUUUUUAUGAAUAACAGUAGAAAAAACAUUAUCUUUAAAAGUAUCUUAGGUUGCUUAGAAUAUGGGAGUAAUUACAGAUCUGUUUCUUUUUCUCAUUAAUCCUUGGGAAGCCUAAAUUACAAUCACUUCCUAGAAGCUAGGCAGUAAAGUACUUCUGACUCAGCCUUGCCCUAUUGUUUUUUGGAGGGAUCUAGGAAGUGGUGAUAAUAACACUUACCUGGCAGAGCAGUUAAAAAAAAUAGAGAUGACGUAUUUCAUAUGUCUAGCAUGGAAUGGGCACUAAAACAUGGUAGCUAUUAUUAAAGAAUAAAAUAAUAGAUAUAUGCAUGGAUUUCAGAGUGCCUGUGACCUCCUUAAAAUGAAUGCAACAUUUUGUGUGGCUGUGUAUGUGUUUGUGUCUGUCUGCUAUUCUGGGGAGAUGGUCCAUAUCUUUCAAUAGCUUCUCAAGGGGACUGGGAACAAGAAAAAGUUAAGAAUACUGCCUAAUGGUUUUAUUCAGGAAAUCUGGUGCUCUGGCAAAAAUGAAAAUGUUGACAGUGUGAUUGUUGUGUCAUCUGGCUGGCCAAAGCAAUGUUUUCUGCUAAAGCAAAAAUUAGAAGUAUUGGGGCCAAAAUGAUCUCAACUAAAUGGUUCUUCUACACUAUGUUUCCAUCUGCCCAGCAUGUGAGCCAUUAACACAUGUUUCCUGUUGACGAUUUUCAUAUCUUUAUUUGCAAGGAAACUGCACUGAGACCAGUUCAAGAGAAUCAUUUAUUUAAUGUAUUGAAAAACCAAAUAAAUGAACUUCCUGUAUAUAUACUCAUGAUUUUAUAUUGCUAAAAAGUGACUAUUUAUGGGACAUUAAGCACACAUUGACCAAGACUGCCUUUAAGUAAUUCAUCUAGUAGUUCUCAUUAUACAUGUGUGUGUAUAUAUAUGUUUAGUCCAAAAAAUAGCAAGUCUCACCAUGUGUUGAAAUAAUUUAUUUCAACACUUAAUGCAUCACCUGUCCCGUAUUUCCACAUGUUGUGUCAUCACCAUUUGACCUCAACCCAUUGUUAAAUAUUUAAUAGUACUGUUGGAUAAACGAUACAAAGUAUUGUUUACUUUUGAAUGUGGCAUUUACAUGAAAAACCAAAUAAGCCAAUACAUGCUACAAAAGGUACAAGUUUAGGGUAUAGCACUAGCCCUUCUG
rnacentral:lncRNA from 1 species